rnacentral:tRNA from 1 species
GGCCUCAUCGUCUAACGGUUAGGACGCACGGUUCUCAUCCGUGUAAUCCGGGUUCGAUUCCCGGUGGGGCUGCCA